UACGAGGGGGGCGAGCGUUGCUCGGAAUCACUGGGCGUAAAGCGCACGUAGGCGGCUUGUUAAGUCAGGGGUGAAAUCCUGGAGCUCAACUCCAGAACUGCCUUUGAUACUGGCGAGCUUGAGUCCGGGAGAGGUGAGUGGAACUGCGAGUGUAGAGGUGAAAUUCGUAGAUAUUCGCAAGAACACCAGUGGCGAAGGCGCUCACUGGCCCGGUACUGACGCUGAGGUGCGAAGGCCAGGGGA
rnacentral:rRNA from 1 species